AUAUCAAAUUAUUUAAAGAAUUGGCCAUAUAUCCUAAUAUGAAAGUGCAAAAGAAGAAACAAAAAUGCCCCGGGAGCCGGCGAGCGCCGCUCCGGGCCCAGUAGCUCCUGGGUGUCAUGGCUCUCGGGGCGGGUCACCCCGAGCCGGCGGGAUGCUGUUCUCAGCCUCCCCCCGGGUGUCUACACGUUCAUGAACGCACUUUUAGUAGUGCGCAUUAGAUUGCAUACCUCCCUCCCUUUUAGUACCUCACAAGAGGUCUUCCCUGCCGCAUGGGCGGCGGGCGGUACCCCAUGAUCUCGGAAGGUCCCUUCCAGACCCCCACAUUCACGAAACUACAAAAAGGUGCGUUAGACUGUUUUAAUGUGCAUUAGUGAAAGUGCACGUUAAAAUAGGCUAAUGCGUAUUAAAGCGCACGUGUGGUCAUGCCCUGGUGUAGGAGCCUGGCAGCCUGGGGCACUUCGGGUCCCACUUCAUUAAGUUCUUGCUGCUCUCACCAUACUUUUACUUGGGCUUCAGCUUUGGUUUCAGGCCAGCGGGAGGCCCUGGAGGGAUCUCGACGUUAGGCGGCUCCCUCUCCGGUGUGACAUGCUGAGUUUUGUUUGCGGAGAAAACAUCACUUAUCGACCGUUUCUUAGCAGGGGACAAUGACAAGUAACGCCUCAGGGACGUCUGAAGAGAGCAGCAGUAAACGCAGGAAGGAGAUGGAUAAGGAAACAUCAGAAAGUCCUCAGUUAUCCUGCCUUGAAAAACCAGACUCAGCUCUUUCUGAGAGUUCACACUCACUUUACAACGCAGAUGUGCUGGAAAAGGUUUUAAAUGACAUGGGGAAGGAAAUCAAUAGCCUGUUGUCAAAAUACGCCCACAUUUUAAGGCAAGUGUGUGUUUUUACACGAACUAUUUUUAGUAUGCAAAAAGUACAUCAUCUUAGAUAAUCUUGUUUCUUAAGUAGGCCAAAAGUAUUCUAACUACUUGUCAACCUUGAUCACUGGCAAAGGAGGCAACAUAUUUUGACGAUCUCGUACUUUCAAGUGUACGGGAUGUAUUAAGGAAAGAGUGACAAAAGUUCCAUACUUCUGAUAGAGGUCAGUGUUUUUCAGAACAGUGCAUUCAGGAAAAUUGCUGUGGAGCCAAAGUUAAACGAAAGGAACUAUGCUUGGCUACUUCUUGGUGAAGGAAAAUGUAAAUUUCUUCAGGGUUUUUUUUAUUUUUUCUAACUUGUCUAAGAACAUGUGCCGAGUGCCAGCCUAAAUUGAGUACCGGAGUGUACACAUGCAGUGUCAAGAAAGGGAAAGGUCAAAUAAAUCCUGAAAUGCCAAAACCCUUGGGUUUGUUUGUGGAAUUAACAAGCUGAUUUGUCAGACUCUGUUGGCUGAUAGGUAACAGAUUUCUAAGCCAUUAAAGUGAAUCCAAAUACAAGCAGUAGUUGAGAGUUAAAGUUUGAGUAUUUUAAUUUGAGGAUUUUUUCCA